rnacentral:rRNA from 1 species
UACGUAGGCAGCAAGCGUUGUUCGGAAUUACUGGGCGUAAAGAGUGUGUAGGCGGUGCUCCAAGUCUGGUGUGAAAUCUCCCGGCUUAACUGGGAGGGUGCAUUAGAAACUGGAAUGCUAGAGGAUGGGAGAGGGAUGCGGAAUUCCAGGUGUAGCGGUGAAAUGCGCAGAUAUCAGGAGGAACACCAAUGGCGAAGGCAGCACUCUGGGACGGUACUGACGCUGAGACGCGAAAGCGUGGGGAGCAAACAGG